rnacentral:lncRNA from 1 species
AUGUCUAGGUCAGAGGUGAACUUUGUUGGAUCUCUUACACACAUUCCACUUGGGUAUCAGAAAGUUUCUGCCAGUGUAAGAAACUCCCAUUUAGCAGUACAGGCUUGUCCUGUCCUCCACUCCUCUAUCUUCUCACCCAUAUACUACCACUGCUUUUCAGGUUUCACUUCUGAUUCUCUGGGCAGAGUCUUCGCCUGUCUCAGAAGUGCUCAUGCCUUAUGCUGCAGUCCCCCAGAAUUUCCACACUGAUUAGUCAACAGUGGAAAAUCUGAAGAGAUGCAAGUAGGAAAAAGAAACUAAACCAGGUGGGUAGUCACAGUGCUCAUACCACUGUACUGUAGUAUCCCAAAUGUUUGUCUAAAUACCUUUAUUUCUAUUUGAACAAAUAGAUUCCAAGUGAAAUUAGAAAGGAAUUUUGGUCCCAUGAAGAAAAAAGCAGGAUGGCCCUUUAUGGAAGUUCUACAAUAACACACUGCAGUUUACAGACCAUUUUUUAAAUAGCAUCAGAAAAACAGUUUGCUUCUAGUGGCUCCAAAGAGAAUGAGUUUCUCUAACCAUCUACUUAUGCUGAUGGAAUCAUACACGGGAGUUAUUAGCAGAUUUGGGCAUGAUGCCAACUUUCCUGUCCACCAAUUGUUGCAAAGCUAUUUUCAUAAAGUCUAAGGCACAUUAUGGGAAUUUUAAUACUGUGAUAGAGGAGCAAAAGCAAGAAAAAACCAGCCUGGAGAAACAAGCACAGCCCACUAGUCUGAUGCAGAGAGCUGGUGCAGGUCCCUUCUAGUCGGAAGAGAAUUGUAGUUCAUGAAAUACGAAUGGCCUGCUUGGAAGUAUGGGUACUCUGGGCCUGUGUUCACACUGAAGCAUUUCUGGCAUCAUUUAAUCAUUUUUAACAGCCUCUGAUCCAUUGUUCAGUCCCCUCCCUUCCCCACAACCUGCCCACCAUCUUUCAGCUGUGUCUCCCUGCAGUUAGAGCAGAAUCUCCAGCCUUUAUUUCUCUGUCCAAGACCUAGUAGUCCCAGGAGCUUGGGGGAUUUCCACCUCCUUUGAAUUCCUUCUCUUUGUCUAGCCUGCCUCUAGCUCCUAAAAUUCCUUUUUGUUGGUGGCAGAGUGAAAGUCUAGUCUAUCUGGCAGCUGCCCUAGGGCUGGGGCUCCCCAGCUGUUUAUCAGCAAGGCUUUUGUCCUGUUCUUACUGAC